UACGGAGGGUGCAAGCGUUAUCCGGAUUCACUGGGUUUAAAGGGUGCGUAGGAGGGCAGGUAAGUCAGUGGCGAAAUCUCCAAGCUUAACUUGGAAACUGCCGUUGAUACUAUCUGUCUUGAAUAUUGUGGAGGUGAGCGGAAUAUGUCAUGUAGCGGUGAAAUGCUUAGAUAUGACAUAGAACACCAAUUGCGAAGGCAGCUCACUACACAAUCAUUGACUCUGAGGCACGAAAGCGUGGGGAUCAAACAGG
rnacentral:rRNA from 1 species